rnacentral:rRNA from 1 species
AUUGAACGCUGGCGGAGUGCUUUACACAUGCAAGUCGAACGGCAGCACGGACUUCGGUCUGGUGGCGAGUGGCGAACGGGUGAGUAAUACAUCGGAACGUGCCCAGUCGUGGGGGAUAACGUAGCGAAAGCUACGCUAAUACCGCAUACGAUCUACGGAUGAAAGCGGGGGAUCGCAAGACCUCGCGCGAUUGGAGCGGCCGAUGGCAGAUUAGGUAGUUGGUGGGGUAAAGGCUCACCAAGCCGACGAUCUGUAGCUGGUCUGAGAGGACGACCAGCCACACUGGGACUGAGACACGGCCCAGACUCCUACGGGAGUCAGCAGUGGGGAAUUUUGGACAAUGGGCGCAAGCCUGAUACAGCCAUUCCGCGUGCAGGAUGAAGGCCCUCGGGUUGUAAACUGCUUUUGUACGGAACGAAAAGGCCCUGGUUAAUACCUGGGGCUCAUGACGGUACCGUAAGAAUAAGCACCGGCUAACUACGUGCCAGCCGCCGCCGUAA